rnacentral:rRNA from 1 species
CCUACGGGUGGCAGCAGUCGAGAAUCAUUCACAAUGGGGGAAACCCUGAUGGUGCGACGCCGCGUGGGGGAAUGAAGGUCUUCGGAUUGUAAACCCCUGUCAUGUGGGAGCAAAUUAAUAAGAUAGUACCACAAGAGGAAGAGACGGCUAACUCUGUACCAGCAGCCGCGGGAAUACAGAGGUCUCAAGCGUUGUUCGGAAUCACUGGGCGUAAAGGGUCCGUAGGCUGUUUCGUAAGUCGGGUGUGAAAGGCGCGGGCUCAACCCGCGGAGUGCGCAUGAUACUGGGAGACUAGAGUAAUGGAGGGGGAACCGGAAUUCUAGGUGUAGCAGUGAAAUGCGUAGAUAUCGAGAGGAACACUGGUGGCGAAGGCGGGUUCCUGGACAUUAACUGACGCUGAGGCACGAAGGCCAGGGGAGCGAAAGGGAUUAGAUACCCGAGUAGUC